ACUUUGCUACAUGGAUAACCGUGGUAAUUCUAGAGCUAAUACAUGCUAGAUGUCCCGACCUCUGGAAGGGAUGUAUUUAUUAGAUAAAAAACCAAUGCCCCCCUCACCGGGGGCUUCGUGGUGAUUCAUAAUAACUUAACGAAUCGCGUUCGGCCUUAGCUAGCGAUGGUUCAUUCAAAUUUCUGCCCUAUCAACUUUCGAUGGUAGGAUAGUGGCCUACCAUGGUUUCAACGGGUAACGGGGAAUUAGGGUUCGAUUCCGGAGAGGGAGCCUGAGAAACGGCUACCACAUCCAAGGAAGGCAGCAGGCGCGCAAAUUACCCAAAUCCCAAACUGAAGGGGAGGUAGUGACAAUAAAUACUGAUACAGGGCCUUUUUGGGUCUUGUAAUUGGAAUGAGUACAGUCUAAAUCCUUUAACGAGGAACAAUUGGAGGGCAAGUCUGGUGCCAGCAGCCGCGGUAAUUCCAGCUCCAAUAGCGUAUAUUAAAGUUGUUGCAGUUAAAAAGCUCGUAGUUGAACCUUGGAUCUGGGGGACCGGUCUGCGUCACCGCAUGUUACUGGAACCCCGGAUCUUUCCUUCUGGAGAACCGCAUGCCCUUUACUGGGUGUGCUGGGAAACCAGGACUUUUACUUUGAAAAAAUUAGAGUGUUCAAAGCAAGGCCAAAAUCCAAACGCACAAAUACAUUAGCAUGGAAUAAUAGAAUAGGACGUGCGGUCUUAUUUUGUUGGUUUCCAGGACCGCCGUAAUGAUUAAUAGGGAUAGUCGGGGGCAUCCGUAUUCGAUUGUCAGAGGUGAAAUUCUUGGAUUUUUCGAAGACGAACUACUGCGAAAGCAUUUGCCAAGGAUGUUUUCAUUAAUCAGGAACGAAAGUUGAGGGAUCGAAGACGAUCAGAUACCGUCGUAGUCUCAACCAUAAACUAUGCCGACUAGGGAUCGGGCGAUGUUUAAUUUUGACUCGCUCG
rnacentral:rRNA from 1 species